AUUGAACGCUGGCGGCAGGCCUAACACAUGCAAGUCGACCGAGCGGCGGACGGGUGAGUAAUGUCUGGGAAUCUGCCCGAUGGAGGGGGAUAACUACUGGAAACGGUAGCUAAUACCGCAUACCAUCGGAUGUACCCAGAUGGGAUUAGCUAGUAGGUGGGGGAAUGGCUCACCUAGGCGACGAUCCCUAGCUGGUCUGAGAGGAUGACCAGCCACACUGGAACUGAGACACUGUCCAGACGCCUACGGGAGGCAGCAGUGGGGAAGAUUGCACAAUGGGCGCAAGCCUGAUGCAGCCAUGCCGCGUGUAUGAAGAAGGCCUUAGGGUUGUAAAGUACUUUCAGCGGGGAGGCGUUACCCGCAGAAGAAGCACCGGCUAACUCCGUGCCAGCAGCCGCGGUAAUUC
rnacentral:rRNA from 1 species